AAUUUGGUUUAUUUUUAAAAAAAAUAUUAUUUAUAUAAAGAGUUUUUGGUGAGUAAAAAUUAUGAAAUACCAGUAAUAAAAUAGUACUGCAAAGGACAGAUUAAUAUUGUUGUAAAGUAUAGUUUAAAUCUAGUACCUUUUGCAUUAUGGUUUAACGAGAUUUAACAUAAUAUUAAUGUAUUCUAGAAAAAAAAAGAGUUACAUUUAAGCUUUAAAUUAGUGUGGCAUAACUAAUUUUAGAUUUAAUUGUGGGAGUGAAAAGCUUACGGUUUUUUUGAUAGCUAGUUAAAAGAGAAAUGUAUUUUAGUACUACUUUUAAUAUAAAAUAUUUUUUUUUAUUAUUAUAUUUUUGUUAUGGAGGUGGGUUUAUUAGGUUAAUCUAAUAAAUGAAGAAUAAAGUGAUUAUAAAUAAAAAUAAUGUAGGCUUAAAAGUUGUUAGCAUGUUUAUGGUUUUAUAACGAAUAAAGUGAAAAUUUUUAAAUUUAUUUUUCUUAUCUAUCUUUUUUUUAUUAAAAAUUAUCAUUUAAUUUAAAUUUAUGUUGAAAUUAGUAUUUCUUUAUUUAAAAGUUUUUGAUUAUAAAAAUUAUAACUAUAAUUAAUAAUUAUUUAUCUAAAUAUGAAAAAGGAACUCGGCAAAUAGAAAUUCCGCCUGUUUAUCAAAAACAUCGCUCUUUGAUGCUAAUAUAUAAAGAGUCGUACCUGCCCAGUGAAAUUUAAACGGCCGCAGUACCCUGACUGUGCUAAGGUAGCAUAAUCAUUUGCCUUUUAAUUGAAGGCUAGAAUGAAUGGUUUGACGUGAAUUUAACUGUCUCUUUUAUAUUAUAUAAAAUUUAAUUUUUAGGUGCAGAAGCCUAAAUGUUUUUAAAAGACGAAAAGACCCUAUCGAGCUUGAAAGAAAAAUAGAAUUUUAUUUACUUUGGUUAAGUGAUUUUUUAUUAUUAAUUUUGUUGGGGUGACAGAAGAACAGAUAAAGCUUCUUUUGAUUAUAAAAAUAAAUAUAUUUUUUGAUCCAUUAUAUAGUGAGAAUAAGAAUAGUUACCGUAGGGAUAACAGCGUUAUUUUUUUGGAAAGUUCAAAUUGAAGAAAAAGUUUGCGACCUCGAUGUUGGAUUAGAAUACCUAUUAGGUGGAGAUGCUUAAUAAGGAGGUCUGUUCGCCCUUUAAUUUUCUACAUGAUCUGAGUUCAAACCGGUGUAAGCCAGGUUGGUUUCUAUCUUUAAAAUUUAAGUUUUUAAACUUAGUACGAAAGGACCAGUUUAAUUAAAAUUUUUAUUUU
rnacentral:rRNA from 1 species